GCCUCUUUAGCUCAGUUGGUAGAGCAACGCAUUCGUAAUGCGUGGGUCGCCGGUUCGAGUCCGGUGAGAGGCU
rnacentral:tRNA from 1 species